rnacentral:misc_RNA from 1 species
GAUGAAGAACGUAGCGAAAUGCGAUAAGUAAUGUGAAUUGCAGAAUUCAGUGAAUCAUCGAAUCUUUGAACGCACAUUGCGCCCGCCAGUAUUCUGGCGGGCAUGCCUGUUCGAGCGUCAUUUCAACCAUCAAGCCCCCGGCUUGUGUUGGGGACCUGCGGCUGCCGCAGGCCCUGAAAACCAGUGGCGGGCUCGCUAGUCACCCCGAGCGUAGUAAUACAUCUCGCUCAGGGCGUGCUGCGGGUUCCGGCCGUUAAAAAGCCUUAUUUACCCAAGGUUGACCUCGGAUCAGGCAGGAAGACCCGCUGAACUUAAGCAUAUCAAUAAGCGGAGGA